rnacentral:rRNA from 1 species
UACGAAGGGGGGCUAGCGUUGCUCGGAAUUACUGGGCGUAAAGCGCACGUAGGCGGAUCUUUAAGUCAGGGGUGAAAUCCUGGAGCUCAACUCCAGAACUGCCUUUGAUACUGAGGACCUUGAGUUCGGGAGAGGGAAGCGGAAUUCCGGGUGUAGCGGUGAAAUGCGUAGAUAUCCGGAGGAACACCGGUGGCGAAGGCGGCUUCCUGGACCGACACUGACGCUGAGGCGCGAAAGCUAGGGGAGCAAACGGG